CGCUGCCGGCGGUGCGCGCCCCACUUCCGGCCGCUCCGAGGUCAGAGGCUCCGGACCAGCGUCAGGAGGAAAAGGGAAGGGGGGUGUAGAUCUCAGAUGACAAAACUAAACCAAAGGGCAGCAGAACUGGGGCCUCCCUGAGGUCUGCCUGACUUCACAUUACAUUGCCCUGUCACAGCCUGCAGCCCAGCACCGAGAACAAGGCCUGGGUGGGGAAGACUAGAGGUGGACACACAGCCUGAGCACUGCCACUCUGGGAACCUGUUUCCUCAGGGGAUAAGAUGUCCUCACAACACAGAUAUGCAUCCUCGGCUGAACGGACAGACCGCGGCCGAGCCACCCCGUGGGACAGGAUUCAGCCACACAAAGCAAUGACGUGCCACUUCGUGCUGGGACCCAGGGAAAUCUUGAAACCGUCAUGCUGAGUGAAGCAGCCGGUCACAAUCAUAUCAUACAUGAUUCCAUUUCUGCGAUGUGUCCCGAAGAGGUAAAUGUAAAGAGACAGAAAGUGGACUGGUGGCUGCCUAGGGCUGGUGGGGAGGGGAGAAGCAAGCGAUCACAAAGCAGGCAGGGUUUCCAUCAGAGGUGAUGAAAAUGUUCGCAAAUUGACUGCGAUGACAGCUGCCAACAUCUUAAAACACAUUUAAAAAAAUUAUUGAAUUGGACACUCUAAAUGGGCCAAGUGUAUGAUAUGUGAAUUGUAUCUCAAC